GAUGUCUGUACCUUCUCACAUACAC
rnacentral:siRNA from 1 species